rnacentral:rRNA from 1 species
UACGGGGGGGGCAAGCGUUGUUCGGAAUUACUGGGCGUAAAGGGCGCGUAGGCGGCCAACUAAGUCGGAUGUGAAAUCCCCAGGCUCAACCUGGGAACUGCAUCCGAUACUGGAUGGCUUGAAUUCGGGAGAGGGAUGCAGAAUUCCAGGUGUAGCGGUGAAAUGCGUAGAUAUCUGGAGGAAUACCGGUGGCGAAGGCGGCAUCCUGGACCGAGAUUGACGCUGAUGAGCGAAAGCUAGGGGAGCAAACGGG